UCGACUACAUUGCACGGAAAGAAGCUCAGAAGAGCGUGAGCAGUGAUCAAGUGCGCAUGGGUGAAUUGUGCUGGGCGCAUCUAGUGAGUCGUGGCUGCCAAACCGAACCACGUCGGGAAACUCAUAUGGACUGUGACCAGUAUUCCCACGUGUGUACCCAGGAAGGUUUCCACCCAUAUCGCACCACUGGUCAAUUGCAUGUCAUCCACGGCCGUUGGGCUACCGCAAAGCGACCUAAACAUUAUUAGCCCACUCCGAGGAAUCUGUAGCUCUUCACACCAAGGAAGGAGAUUCAAGGGCAAAAGCCUGAACAACGCUCGUACACAUCACCACUAUUGCGAAGCGAGAGAUUGCAUACUCUCUCAACCAACCAAAAGGCCUCCAACAAUCGGAGUGAAUAGAUUGUAGUAGCCUCUGUAGUGGACAUGAGAUCUGACGUCAUUGUGCCCUCAGGGCCUUUUCUUCCCCAUACUCUAUUCUCAGCAGAUCCCAUUGAGAGAGCCACGCACGCUUGACAUUACCAUAGCGAUCGGGAUCACGAACAGGAGCAGUGGGAUAGACGGUUGGCACAGUAAGCACCAGCUACCGUGGGCUAGCCAUCCACGAUUGUCUGUUGGGAGAGAUCGGGCUUCAGGAGCGAUCGCCAGCGAAGAAUCCACCAGCAUUACGCCAAUCAGGGACGAAUGACCUUCGGGUUAAAGUCCCUCUCAAACAACAACAAUUACGCCAAAGCAUGCGCUGCAGUAACGCAACUCGGAUGGCACACCUCAACGUCACCAAAAGAUCAAGCGGACGGUACCAGAAAGAAUCAUAAGAUGGGCUCAUCGUGAGUAGACAGUAAAUAUUGAUCACCUAGCAUAAGAAACAAACAUUACGUAGUAUUAGCUAGUUAGGCUAUAGCCUUACCUAUAGGUAAAGAUGCGCUGUUUGA